UGGAGCAUGUGGUUUAAUUCGAUGCAACGCGAAGAACCUUACCUGGUCUUGACAUCCACAGAACUUUCCAGAGAUGGAUUGGUGCCUUCGGGAACUGUGAGACAGGUGCUGCAUGGCUGUCGUCAGCUCGUGUUGUGAAAUGUUGGGUUAAGUCCCGCAACGAGCGCAACCCUUAUCCUUUGUUGCCAGCGGUCCGGCCGGGAACUCAAAGGAGACUGCCAGUGAUAAACUGGAGGAAGGUGGGGAUGACGUCAAGUCAUCAUGGCCCUUACGACCAGGGCUACACACGUGCUACAAUGGCAUAUACAAAGAGAAGCGACCUCGCGAGAGCAAGCGGACCUCAUAAAUUAUGUCGUCGUCCGGAUUGGAGUCUGCAACUCGACUCCAUGAAGUCGGAAUCGCUAGUAAUCGUAGAUCAGAUUGCUACGGUGAAUACGUUCCCGGGCCUUGUAUACACCGCCCGUCACACCAUGGGAGUGGGUUGCAAAAGAAGUAGGUAGCUUAACCUUCGGGAGGGCGC
rnacentral:rRNA from 1 species